AAACUCAAAAAAAUCGGAAAAAAAAGGUAUUUAAUUUAAUCUGCUUUGGCGUGCAUAUUUUGGAAAACCAUAGAGGCGAAUUUUAGGAGCCGUUAUUAAACACUAAUACAGACCAAUGUACCAGGUACGCCUGUACUGACACAGAAAUCGUGGCGAAUACAAACUCUUUGACUUGUCUGUCUCUGGUUCUACCUACACACGUGAACACUUACCAAGUCUUGCGGGACGAAUAAUAAUGGAUGUUAAUUAUAAUAUUUCUAAAUACUGAACCAUGGACGAUCAUCACAUCCUGAACACGAAUCUACACAAAACUCUCAUCCACAAACACGUUAAAGAUACACAGGAAGCGCGUAGUAGGUUCGAUACACAAAUAUAUACGAUACAUUUGAUGUAUUCAUCAUGCUGAUACAAGUUGGUGCGUAACACUUAUACACGUUAAAAAUACACAGGCCAAGUGUGUAGUUCUAUACCGAAACUGAUGAAAUAUACUGAUGCAAAGUGGUGCAAAACAAAUCUAAAUACUGAGCAAUGGACGAUCAUCACAUCCUGAACACGAUUCUACACAAGACUCUCAUCCACAAACACGUUAAAGAUACACAGGAAGCGCGUAGUAGGUUCGAUACACAAAUAUAUACGAUACAUUUGAUGUUUUAACAUGCUGAUACAAGUUGGUGCAUAACACUUAUACACGUUGAAAAUACACAGGCCAAGUGUGUAAUUCUAUACCGAAACUGAUGAAAUAUACUGAUGCAAAGUGGUGCAAAACAAAUCUAAAUACUGAACAAUGGACGAUCAUCACAUCCUGAACACGAUUCUACACAAGACUCUCAUCCACAAACACGUUAAAGAUACACAGGAAGCGCGUAGUAGGUUCGAUACACAAAUAUAUACGAUACAUUUGAUGUUUUAUCAUGCUGAUACAAGUUGGUGCAUAACACUUAUACACGUUGAAAAUACACAGGCCAAGUGUGUAAUGCUAUACCGAAACUGAUGAAAUAUACUGAUGCAAAGUGGUGCAAAAAAAAUCGGAAACCGAAAUACAUAAGAGACAUUUGAUGUAUUCAUCAUGCUGAUACAAAUUGGAGCAGAGCACUUAUACACGUUGGAAAUACACAGAAGGCAAAAGAAGAUGUAUUCAUCAUGCUGAUACAAGUUGGUGCGUAACACUUAAAUCGAUGAAUAUAAAGACUUUUGAGAUACACUGGGCGAAAUACACACGAAGAUUGACGAUUCAUUCAAAUGAGACGCAGAGACAUUUGAAGUAUACAUCAUUCUGAUUCGAAUUGGCGCAUUUGUAACUGAACUGAAUAAAUAAAUAUAUUUUGAUACUAA